UACAGAGGGUGCGAGCGUUAAUCGGAAUUACUGGGCGUAAAGCGUGCGUAGACGGUUAUUUAAGUCGGGUGUGAAAGCCCCGGGCUCAACCUGGGAAUUGCAUUCGAGACUGAAUAGCUAGGGUACGGUAGAGGGAAGUGGAAUUUCCGGUGUAGCGGUGAAAUGCGUAGAUAUCGGAAGGAACAUCAGUGGCGAAGGCGGCUCACUGGUCCGGUACUAGACGCUGAGGUGCGAAAGCGUGGGGAGCAAACAGG
rnacentral:rRNA from 1 species